rnacentral:rRNA from 1 species
AUGAGCACUCAGGACAGCAACUUCCAUCUUGGCCUGUAUAAUGCUGGUUCGGCCGUGGCCUUUCAUAUCUCAGGACAAAGGAAUGAACACGAAGCAAAUUAUAACACUCAGAUUCAUGGCGGUGCUAGACAUGGCAGGGCAAGAGAGCACAAGGAAGAAUGCCAAAGGGGGCAUCAUAAAUGUCAGAACCUAGAGCAUGGAUACAAGACCUCCAUCAUCGUCUAUGGACAUCAAAGCAAGGGAGAAGUGAUGAUGGACAUCAAAGGAGUAGAGACACCCAUGGACAAUGAUUGCUUCAACACCGUCGUGCGUAUGCUGGCAUGUGACGGGGGAGUAUUGUUCCCAGACCCUCCUGUACACUACAUGGAUCUACGAUUUUGUGAUGGGUAUGAACUGAGGAAGCAGUUUUUAUUAUACUUGCUAAAACAUCGUGGGAAUGAUGCUAAAGAAAACAUUCCUGAUAUUGUGAAAGAAUUUCUUAAGCGUAUCAUCUGGAUAUUAAUAGUUUUGUAA